rnacentral:rRNA from 1 species
UGUUACCUUGUUACGACUUAACCCUAGNUACCAGAUUUACCCUAGGCCGCUCCUUACGGUAACAGACUUCAGGUACCCCCGGCUUCCAUGGUUUGACGGGCGGUGUGUACAAGGCCCGGGAACGUAUUCACCGCGCCAUGGCUGAUGCGCGAUUACUAGCGAAUCCAGCUUCACGAAGUCGGGUUGCAGACUUCGAUCCGAACUGAGACCGGUUUUCGAGAUUCGCAUCCUAUCACUAGGUAGCUGCCCUCUGUACCGACCAUUGUAACACGUGUGUAGCCCUGGACGUAAGGGCCGUGCUGAUUUGACGUCAUCCACACCUUCCUCGCGGUUUACACCGGCAGUCUUGUUAGAGUGCCCACCAUUAUGUGCUGGUAACUAACAACGUGGGUUGCGCUCGUUAUGGGACUUAACCCGACACCUCACGGCACGAGCUGACGACAACCAUGCAGCACCUUGUAAACUGUCCGAAGAAAAAGGUAUCUCUACCCCUGUCAGUCUACAUUUAAGUCCAGGUAAGGUUCCUCGCGUAUCAUCGAAUUAAACCACAUGUUCCUCCGCUUGUGCGGGCCCCCGUCAAUUCCUUUGAGUUUCAUUGUUGCCAACGUACUCCCCAGGUGGAUCACUUAAUGCUUUCGCUUUGUCGCUUACGGUCUAUUGCAAACAACUAGUGAUCAUCGU